CAGCCGUAAACUAUGCUCGCUAGGUGUCAGGCAUGGCGCGACCGUGUCUGGUGCCGCAGGGAAGCCGUGAAGCGAGCCACCUGGGAAGUACGGCCGCAAGGCUGAAACUUAAAGGAAUUGGCGGGGGAGCACCACAACAGGUGGAGCCUGCGGUUUAAUUGGACUCAACGCCGGGAAGCUCACCGGGUAGGACAGCAGAAUGAUUGCCGGGCUGAAGACCCUGCAUGACUAGCUGAGAGGUGGUGCAUGGCGUAGACGUCU
rnacentral:rRNA from 1 species